ensembl:snoRNA SNORA70 Small nucleolar RNA SNORA70
CUGCAGCCAAUUAAGCUGACUGAGCUGCCCGCCUGGUGGUGCCUGGUAUGCAGUGGCUGCAAACAGCAGCCUCCUGGAUGGUGUCUGCAGCCCAUUAUUUGUACAAUCUGCCCUAAGGGACACUGGGGAAACCC